GGACCAAGAAAAAUAAAAUAAAAUAAACAAAGCCGAUAAUUGAUGUAUCGUAAUAGCAAUUGCUAUAACCUUCUGCAGCUAUAGAGAAAAACAUAGCCGUAAACUGGACUGUCUGGACUACUACUUAAACUAACUCUCAUGUAGGCAUUAGUAAAGAAAUUAUGAGACUAAGCUACAAAGUCAUAAUCGAACCCAAAGCUCAUACGGAACUCUUAUACCAUGUUGUGACCCUGGGUCUCUG
rnacentral:misc_RNA from 1 species